rnacentral:rRNA from 1 species
AACGAACGCUGGCGGCGUGCCUAACACAUGCAAGUCGAACGGGACCUUCGGGCCUUGUGGCGCACGGGUGCUUAACGCGGGGGAACCUGCCCGUAGGUUCGGAAUAACUCCCCGAGAGGGGUCCUAAUACCGGUUAAUGUCUUCGGACCAAAGAUUUAUCGCCUUUGGAUGGGCCCGCGUUGGAUUCGCCAGUUGGUAGGGUAAAAGCCUGCCAAGGCGACGAUCCAGAGCUGGUCUGAGAGGAUGACCAGCCACGCUGGGACUGCGACACGGCCCAGACUGCGACGGAAGGCAGCAGUGGGGAGUAUUGGACAAGGGGGGAUAGCCUGAUACAGCCAUGCCGCGGGAGUGAUGAAGGGCUUAGGGUUGUAAAGCUGUUUUAGCCGGGAUGAUAAUGACAGUAACGGGAGAAGAAGCUCCGGCUAACUCCGUG